AAAACAACUCUCAGCAACGGAUAUCUUGGCUCUUGCAACGAUGAAGAACGCAGCGAAAUGCGAUACGUAGUGUGAAUUGCAGAAUUCCGCGAAUCAUCGAGUCUUUGAACGCAAGUUGCGCCCGAGGCUUGUCCGAGGGCAUUUCCGCUAGAGCGUCACCGCGCCCCCCCCCCAACCCACCCACCC
rnacentral:rRNA from 1 species